UAGGGAAUCUUGCGCAAUGGGCGAAAGCCUGACGCAGCAACGCCGCGUGGGGGAUGAAGGCUCUCGGGUUGUAAACCCCUUUCAGCAGGGACGAUUAUGACGGUACCUGCAGAAGAAGGACCGGCCAACUACGUGCCAGCAGCCGCGGUAAUACGUAGGGUCCGAGCGUUGUCCGGAUUUAUUGGGCGUAAAGAGCUCGUAGGCGGCUCAGUUAGUCGGAUGUGAAAACUCGGGGCUCAACCCCGAGACGCCAUCCAAUACUGCUGUGGCUUGAAUCUGGUAGGGGAGCACGGAAUUCCUGGUGUAGCGGUGAAAUGCGCAGAUAUCAGGAGGAACACCGGUGGCGAAGGCGGUGCUCUGGGCCAGUAUUUGACGCUGAGGAGCGAAAGCGUGGGUAGCAAACA
rnacentral:rRNA from 1 species